AGUGGCGAACGGGUGAGUAACACGUGGGCAACCUGCCCUCAGCUCUGGGAUAACUCCAAGAAAUUGGGGCUAAUACCGGAUAUGACCGCUGACCGCAUGGUCUGGUGGUGGAAAGAUUUAUCGGCUGGGGAUGGGCCCGCGGCCUAUCAGCUUGUUGGUGGGGUAGUGGCCUACCAAGGCGACGACGGGUAGCCGGCCUGAGAGGGUGACCGGCCACACUGGGACUGAGACACGGCCCAGACUCCUACGGGAGGCAGCAGUGGGGAAUAUUGCGCAAUGGGCGAAAGCCUGACGCAGCGACGCCGCGUGGGGGAUGACGGCCUUCGGGUUGUAAACCUCUUUCAGCAGGGACGAAGCGAAAGUGACGGUACCUGCAGAAGAAGCACCGGCCAACUACGUGCCAGCAGCCGCGGUAAUACGUAGGGUGCAAGCGUUGUCCGGAAUUAUUGGGCGUAAAGAGCUCGUAGGCGGUUUGUUGCGUCGGCUGUGAAAACCUGAGGCUCAACCUCAGGCCUGCAGUCGAUACGAGCAGACUAGAGUGUUGCAGGGGAGACUGGAAUUCCUGGUGUAGCGGUGAAAUGCGCAGAUAUCAGGAGGAACACCGGUGGCGAAGGCGGGUCUCUGGGCAACAACUGACGCUG
rnacentral:rRNA from 1 species